GUUCCCGUUGUCGAAGCCAUGUGGUUCCGAUCUGAAACUUUAAACAUUUCCACCCGGCGGACUGUGCUACAGAAAGGGCAGCACAGUGGCUGAUGAGCUGACCGUGUGGAGGAGCCGUCCAACGUCAACGCGCCAAAAAAAACCAAUAUAACCCCCACGGUGUCUUCUCUGAGUUUUCGGGGGGGCUGGUCUCACCACUUCCCCUUCAUUCACUCCACAGCCACACCUCUCCCCCACCCUUGGGGACCGCCUUGUCUCGCCCUUCGGAACCGUCUCUCCCCCACCCUUGGGGACCACCAACAUUGCUCAGGUGCGGCACUCGGGGAUUCGAACCUGCAACCUCUACCUCCCGAGUGAAGUGAAGAAGGUGAGACCUCAGAAAUGGAAAAACAAGAGGCUGGACUGGGCUUCGAACCCUGAAGCGCAGCACCCGGAGUUUGUGACACUACCUUCACACCACCAUGAUGUUUGGUUUCUGUCAGGAUGCAGCAGUGGACAGAAGGAUGAGACUACAGAAAUGUACGAGAAUUAAAGACA